rnacentral:rRNA from 1 species
GCUGGCGGCACGCCUAACACAUGCAAGUCGAACGCAGUAGCAAUACUGAGUGGCAAACGGGUGAGUAUAAUGUGGGAAUCUGCCUUUUGGUUUGGAAUAACACGGGGAAACUUGUGCUAAUACCGAAUAAGCCCUUACGGGGAAAGUUUUAACGCCGAAAGAUGAGCCCGCACUUGAUUAGCUAGUUGGUAAGGUAAAAGCUUACCAAGGCAAUGAUCAAUAGCUGUUCUUAGAGGAAGACCAGCCACAUUGGGACUGAGACACGGCCCAGACUCCUACGGGAGGCAGCAGUGGGGAAUCUUGCACAAUGGGGGAAACCCUGAUGCAGCGAUGCCGCGUGAGUGAAGAAGGCCCUUGGGUUGUAAAACUCUUUCGUCGGGGAAGAAAAUGACUGUACCCGAAUAAGAAGGUCCGGCUAACUUCGUGCCAGCAGCCGCGGUAAUACGAAGGGACCUAGCGUAGUUCGGAAUUACUGGGCUUAAAGAGCUCGUAGGUGGUUAAAAAAGUUGAUGGUGAAAUCCCAAGGCUCAACCUUGGAACUGCCAUCAAAACUUUUUAGCUAGAGUGUGAUAGAGGUAAGUGGAAUUUCUAGUGUAGAGGUGAAAUUCGUAGAUAUUAGAAAGAACACCAAAUGCGAAGGCAACUUACUGGGUCACUACUGACACUGAGGAGCGAAAGCAUGGGUAGCGAAGAGGAUUAGAUACCCUCGUAGUCCAUGCCGUAAACGAUGUGUGCUAGACGUUGGAAAUAUAUUUUUCAGUGUCGCAGCGAAAGCGUUAAGCACACCGCCUGGGGAGUACGACCGC